UACGAAGGGGGCUAGCGUUGCUCGGAAUCACUGGGCGUAAAGGGUGCGUAGGCGGGUCUUUAAGUCAGGGGUGAAAUCCUGGAGCUCAACUCCAGAACUGCCUUUGAUACUGAGGAUCUUGAGUUCGGGGAGAGGUGAGUGGAACUGCGAGUGUAGAGGUGAAAUUCGUAGAUAUUCGCAAGAACACCAGUGGCGAAGGCGGCUCACUGGCCCGGAUACUGACGCUGAGGCACGAAAGCGUGGGGAGCAAACAGG
rnacentral:rRNA from 1 species